CGGAGCUAAUCAUUUCAUCUCAUCCGACGGCUUCAGAUCCGGUGUCAGACAUGGACGGCGUCCCUUCCGGCGGGGGCGAUUCCUUCUUCUCCCCUCUCUGCAUCUUCCUCCUCGUCGUCGCUCUUCAGUCCCUCGAUGGCUUCCUGGAUAUCGUCAAAAAGAAAGGAAUGACAAGUGAGGAAGAAGUUCAACUGCGCAAAGAAAUCAAGGAACUUUACAAAGAGGCUAGCUCCCUAUCAACGCCUUCAACCUUUGCUCAAUCUGCUAAACUUAAACGACUAGCUGCAGCCAAGGAAAAGGAGCUGCUUAGAAAACAAGAAGAGCGCAAGAAGGAGAAAACCUGGUUAUAUGAGCUGUCUGGGAGGGCCUUGCUGGCUUUGAAGGUACUGUUGUAUGGUGGUCUUGUACUUCGGUUUUGGGGAGUUCCUGUUGCAGCAGUCCCCCAACAUCUAUUGCAACCUUUUGGCAGAGUAUUGUCCUGGAAGUCUGGAAAUGCUGCCACAGGCCAAAUCAUGGUAGAUUCAUUGCUUGAAUUGUCUGGAAAUACAAUGACUUGUGGAAUUGAGUUGCAGGAAUUUUGUUUCCUUCGUUCUAAAUGCAGGUUGGCAUAAUUCCAUGGCUGGUUUUAACUUCUCGUGUCAGCAAAUUCUUGUGGCAAAAGUUCCAAAAAACCUUUUUCAGCAGUUAAACGUAGGACUACCAAACCUAAGAUUUUGUCUGAUUUUUUCCUCUACUUUUGUGUGUACCAUGUCACUCAAUUGGUCAAUAAACUUACGAAGCUGCAUACAUUUCGUAUUGAGGCACUUAAUUUGCAGCGGCAACACUCCAUGUGUUCAACUGCUUUUUCAGAUUUAUGCUAUAUUUUUCUGACUCUGACAUGUAAAAACUUUGUUUUGUACAACAUUUUUGAAAGGAAUGGGAAAGUGAUUUUUCCUGACCAUUUUGUCUGAUAAAUUGUUUACUUUAGCAGUA